rnacentral:rRNA from 1 species
UACGUAGGGGGCUAGCGUUGUCCGGAAUCAUUGGGCGUAAAGAGCGUGUAGGCGGCUCGGUAAGUCCGCUGUGAAAGUCCAGGGCUCAACCCUGGAAUGCCAGUGGAAACUGUCGAGCUAGAGUCCGGAAGGGGCGAAGUGGAAUUCCUGGUGUAGCGGUGAAAUGCGCAGAUAUCAGGAGGAACACCAAUGGCGAAGGCAGCUCGCUGGGACGUGACUGACGCUGAGACGCGAAAGCGUGGGGAGCAAACAGG